rnacentral:rRNA from 1 species
UACGAAGGGGGCUAGCGUUGCUCGGAAUCAUUGGGCGUAAAGCGCACGUAGGCGGCUUUGCAAGUCUGACGUGAAAUCCCUCAGCUCAACUGAGGAAGUGCAUCGGAAACUGCAAGGCUUGAGUACUGAAGAGGAUCGCGGAAUUCCCGGUGUAGAGGUGAAAUUCGUAGAUAUCGGUAGGAACACCCGUGGCGAAGGCGGUCUCCUGGGACGUUCUUGACGCUGAGGCGCGAAAGCUGGGGGAGCGAACGGG